rnacentral:rRNA from 1 species
GUGAGGAAUUUUCCGCAAUGGGCGAAAGCCUGACGGAGCAAUGCCGCGUGAAGGAUGAAGGCCUAUGGGUUGUAAACUUCUUUUCUCAGAAAAGAAUUAUGACGGUAUCUGAGGAAUAAGCAUCGGCUAACUCUGUGCCAGCAGCCGCGGUAAGACAGAGGAUGCAAGCGUUAUCCGGAAUGAUUGGGCGUAAAGCGUCUGUAGGUUGUUUAAAAAGUAUUCUGUCAAAGAUUAGGGCUUAACCCUAGAUAGGCAGAAUAAACUUUUAAGCUAGAGGUUGGUAGCAGCAGAGGGAAUUCCCGGUGGAGCGGUGAAAUGCGUAGAUAUCGGGAGGAACACCAAAGGCGAAGGCACGCUGCCGGGCCAAUACUAACACUGAGAGACGAAAGCGAGAGGAGCAAAUGGGAUUAGAUACCCGGGUAGUCC